UGCCAGCCGCCGCGGUAACACGUAAGGGGCAAGCGUUGUUCGGAAUCAUUGGGCGUAAAGGGUGCGCAGGCGGUUAUUCAAGCUUGAUGUAAAAGACCCCGGCUUAACCGGGGGAAUGCAUUGGGAACUGGAUGACUGGAGUAUAAGAGGGGAAGUUGGAAUUCCAGGUGUAGGGGUGAAAUCUGUAGAUAUCUGGAAGAACACCGGUGGCGAAGGCGAACUUCUGGCUAUAUACUGACGCUGAGGCACGAAAGCGUGGGGAGCGAACAGGAUUAGAUA
rnacentral:rRNA from 1 species